CGUUUUAUCCUCUCUUGAGAAUAGAACUACUUGCUCAACCUCCUGACUCCGUUAUAUGAGUCUGUCGGCUUCCAAGACAACAUAAAUGAUCCUCAUCUGGAGCAGUUAAAGCGGGUCAAGGCACUGACGUGGGCCUGCAACCUAGAGUACCAGGACUGUGUCAACAACUCAGUUUCACUUUAUCAAAAGUGGAUGGAGAACCCAUCUAACCGCAGCAUUGUGUCCCCUAACUUGAAGAGCAUAGUGUACUGCACCGCUAUUGCUGCUGGUGAUGAGGAGGAGUGGAACUUUGGCUGGAACAGUACCUCAACUCCAACGUUGGCUCUGACAAAGAAGUAAUACUUAGUUCACUAGUUGCUCUAAGAAGAUCUGGAUAUUGUCUCGGUACCUUGAUAUGGCUUUCUCAAAUAAUAGCGGUAUGAGGAACAGGAUGCACCUAUAGCCUUCGUCGCUGUGGCCAGAAACAGUGUAGGCCACUACCUAACCUGGAACUAUGUUAGGGAUAACUGGCAGAAAAUUACGGACUUUUUUGGGUCUGGUAUAUUCGUCCUCUCCAACAUCAUUGAGAAAGCUACUGAGACCUUAAACACACACCUGGAAAUGAAGGAGUUGAAGCUGUUCAAGGAAAGGCACGCGGGCGAAUUCGGACCAGCAAAACGGACAGUUGAUCAGUCUAUUGAAGGAACUACUAUUAACAUUGCCUGGAUGACCAACAACUCCAAGAUUAUUGUUCAGUGGCUCAGUGACCAUGGUUAUUCCACCCAGCUCAAUAAUCAGUCAACUCUGCUGCCUGGCUCCAUUUAGCAACAUCCCUAAAAGAAGAAAAGUGGUUGCUUCAGUUCGGUAAUCAUGAACUGAUAUUACAUAUAUAUCACUUAGUUUUUAGAAGAUAUAGAAAAUAUUCAGGUAUAUA